GUAGGUGGCAAGCGUUGUCCGGAAUUAUUGGGCGUAAAGCGCGCGCAGGCGGUUCUUUAAGUCUGAUGUGAAAGCCCACGGGCUCAACCGUGGAGGGUCAUUGGAAACUGGAGAACUUGAGUACAGAAGAGGAAAGCGGAAUUCCACGUGUAGCGGUGAAAUGCGUAGAGAUGUGGAGGAACACCAGUGGCGAAGGCGGCUUUCUGGUCUGUAACUGACGCUGAGGCGCGAAAGCGUGGGGAGCAAACAGGAUUAGAUACCCUGGUAGUCCACGCCGUAAACGAUGAGUGCUAAGUGUUGGGGGGUUUCCGCCCCUUAGUGCUGCAGCUAACGCAUUAAGCACUCCGCCUGGGGAGUACGGCCGCAAGGCUG
rnacentral:rRNA from 1 species